rnacentral:rRNA from 1 species
GAUGAACGCUGGCGGCGUGCCUAAUACAUGCAAGUCGAGCGAACAGACGAGGAGCUUGCUCCUCGGACGUUAGCGGCGGAGGGGUGAGUAACACGUGGAUAACCUACCUAUAAGACUGGGAUAACUUCGGGAAACCGGAGCUAAUACCGUAUAAUAUAUUGCACCGCAUGGUUGAAUAGUGAAAGACGGUUUUGGUGUCACUUAUAGAUGGAUCCGGGCCGCAUGAGCUAGUUGUGAAGGUAACGGCUUACCAAGGCAACGAUGCGUAGCCGACCGAAGAGGGGGGUAGGCCACCUUAGAAGUGAGCCACCCACCAUACUCCUACGGUACGCAGCAGUAGCGAACCGUCCGCAAUAGGCGAAAGCUUGACGGAGCAACGCCACGCGAGUGAUGACAGUGUUGCGAUCGUAAUACUCUGCUACGAGGUAAAAACCAAUGUGGAAGUAACCAUGCACGGCGUGACGGUACCUAAUCAGAAAGCCCCGGCUAACUACGUG